UCUUUUGUAUCGUUCCUCGUGUUUCCUACUUGUCUUCUUCUUUUUUUUUUUUUUUCUUCCGUCCCCCAUGCUUCCCCAGUCCUACCGGCGACAGUGCGCGAGUCCCUCACAUGCUGUAAUCAUUUCUAUGGCGGCUCGUUCAAUUUGGUGCUGGUGUAACUGGUAGUGGUCUCUUCGUCACUUCGCACUACAGUGUACUGUACUUCGCACGGUAUGUGCCGUAGAUUCCACCUCGCUCUCAACUGAGACGUUCGCUACGAAAUUCGCGCGAUCUCAGAAACGUGCUGUGACCAGCGGUCGGCGAUAGCGCGCUUGUUUUCGUAACCGACAGCAUGUUCACGAACGCUGACAUUCACGGUGUCGAGCGCGCACAAUGCUCUUCAAGCGGCUGUGACUGCGACUGUUUCACGCGACCCACGGCUCUCGACACAUGCGGCGUGCAAGCCGCGUCGGUACAGUGCGGCUGGUGCUGCUACUGUGGCCAUUCACCUGUGUCUCACUGCCGCAUAAUAGGUGCACGGUCCCUGGCAGCCGAACCAGAGGAAAACAACAGUAUUCAGCUGCAGAGUAGUCCAUUAAUCUCGGGCGCCAUCCGGACUUCAUCUCCUGGCAAUUUGUCAACCCAUGGCAGUGAGAACAGAAUAGGCCAAGAGCACGCAGAUGUGGUCAGAGCAGCUCAGUGUCACAUGAAAUUGGAGCUAGGUACUGCACCAGAAGCAAAUUCAGAACCGGAACCAAAUACAGAACUAGAGCUGAUGCCUGAGCCUAAGCCACAGCCAGAGUCAAGCUCAAAAGUAUCAAAAAAGAGGAGGCAUGAUUCGGAGGAUGACCUGACAUGUUCCUGUGGACUGGAGCAAAAGGUGAAGCAGCUAGAACAAGAAAAUAAUCAACUUGCAAGGCAGUUGGAGGAUGCACGGAACAUUUCUGAGUCCCUUCAACUGGUAAGGGAGCUCAAAGGACUGAUCCGGACGGUGCAGGGUAGCAACAGAAAUAUUGAGUCGUCAAAGGUGGACAUUGGUAGCGGAGUCUUGGUCGACAAGUUGCAGCUGGACCAACUGGUCCGGGAGCCCAACUCAGCGUGUAGGUUUGCUCGCCGCCUGCUUCGCAUGGUGUUUACCACUGAGGAGAUGCGAGGGAAGAGUCUCUAUGGGAAGACCUACGGUGUCAACAAGGACACGCAGCCCAAGGAAGCACUGGACCCUGUGCGGCUUAACGCAGUCAUAGAAAACGCAAACGCGUGGCCAUGGAGAAACCGAGCCAAGACACAGCGUUGAUUCGCCGCUGCUCUUGGUCAAGUGGUGUGGACCAUGCGGGAAAACCGCGACAUCACAUGGACGUGGCAUUCUCUGCUACUUGCAGUUUGUGUUACACAUGUGAGCACUUCAACACAUUCCCUGGCCGGUUGAAGAACAGUCUUUCAAGCAUGCUUUCUCGAGAUAUAAAGUAAGCACGAAGAAUGACCUGCUGGGACCUGCAAUCAAAUCACCACAUCAAAAAUGCAUAACAAUGCUGAAUUCUCUGAGCCUCAUUUAAAUGAUUGUGUCUGAAACAUCUCUUUUAUGAAGAAUAAAUGUUGUGGAAGUGCAGUUACUGA